GGGCAGGCUGUGCAGACCCCAGUCCAGCCCUCUGCUCUCACUGCCAUCUGGUGACCUAGAGCAGGAAGCUGAGGACGUGCUCCCCUCUCUUCUCCACUCCCAGCAGAGAUGCUCACCUGGUGUCUGCCAGGCACCUGGCAUCGGCCAGGCCCAGGGUAUUUCUGUAAGACACAGUGUGUCUUACUUCCAUAUAAGCUACUUUCUAGAAAGGGGUGGAUAAUAAGCAAGUAGGCAGUAGGCAAGGUACUUCCAGUGGCGACAUGUGCUGUCAGGAAGACAAAGCAGGCUGGUGUGUUCAGAACUCCAGGUGGGGGAGAGGGGGUGGCAGAGGCCGGCUGCAGACUGGAGGGCGGGCGGCCUCCCUGCGGAGGUGACCCAAUGACAGGGUGCCUUGAGCCACACCAGGGAAGUGAGGGGGAGCAUCCUGAGUAGAAGGAUGAGGAAGUAAACCCUGAGCUUGGGAGGCGGGCUGGGCUUGGCCAAUUCAGGGCUCAGCAAGCUGGCGACUGGGGGCGCUGGGGGCAGGGCAGGGCUGGCUUGACUGGGACCUUUGUCCUAAGUCCAGGGCAGGCCAGCAUGGUUUUCAAGCCAGAAUCUGAUGGGAUCCACUGGGUCUGGGACCCUGUGAAUCAGUUGCUUGGGGGAUUUAACCUCAGCCACACCUGGGAGAGGCCGUGGUGCCAAGAGGUCACAGCGUGUGAGGCAGUUAGGCAGGGACCCCAACAUUAGAGGGUUGGGGGGACCUGGAGGGAGGGACUCAGGCCUGCUGCCAUGUGCCUGUCGAGGUGGAAUACCAGCUCCCAUCCGCUGCAGCUGACCGGCCAGUGGCAGCAAGUGGCUGUUGGCUCGUCCCCGCUUCACCUUCACACGUCAGCCGGGCUCAGCUGGGGAGCAGGUCCUCCCUCCUGACCGUGCUGGCCCGCAUCUGCGGUGGCAGGGGACAUGGAAUGUUUUGGGGCCCUCCCUCAGGGCGCGGUCCCCUCAUCCAGCUGGGCCAGGCUUCUCUCCGUCCUUUUGGGGAAGGAAAUUGAGUGUUGGCUACCUGCUCACGUGCCGGGGGCAGAGCCGAGAAGGGAGCCCUGGCCACCCCUCGGCCCCCGCAGCCUGGGAGCCAUGGCCCUUCUUGCUGGGGUGGGUUCUGCCACCACUUUCACACCGCAGACCCAGGCGGGUCUGGGACCUGCUCUGGGCUUGGGGUCCCCUGAAGGUCAGGCGAGGGUGGUGACCUUCUCAUCCUGGGCUGCAAUGACCCGGAGUCUCAGGAUGCUUUCAGGAAGCGUGGCUGUUAUUUAUCGUGCCAUUAUCGCCAACCCCCCCACACACUGCUGAGAAGCCUUGAAACUCUGUAUCAGGCCGUCUGAUAGACACGUCCUCCCAGCCCUUGGGCAGACUCUGCAUCUCUUGAGCCGCAAGUUUCCUGGUUGGCAAACCCGGGUACUGGCCUUAAAGGGGCCCCGCGGUUUGGCCCCAGGGCCUCCCAGGAGGCCGUUUCAGCUCUGCCCUAGCAGGAUGGUCCUGCCUUCCUGCAGGAUGGUUCCAGACCCUUCCCUGUACAAGGCUGGAGCACAAGAGACUGGCCCGCAGUCAGGUUUGGCCGUGCCGAGGGGAGGCGUCCGGAAAGUGUCGGUUAUGUUCUGCAGAUGGAUGUGUCACAAUCUGGAAUCAUCCUUUUAGCGCCCAAAGCAGAGCCUUCAUAUACGUUUUUGUGAUUUGCUGGAAGAUCCCUAAGCCCUUGGCCACCGCCAUCCCCCCUCAUCCCCAGAGGGGCUUGUCUUAUGGGUUGAGGAGAGCUCCCAGCCAGCCCUGCGCUUGGCGAAGCCCAGGGCCUGGCCGGCCUCCCCCCCAACGCCCAGCCAGGCUAUUCUGGAUGCAGCUGCUGGGCACUCCUCUCCCUUCCCCCCUCGGGUCCUGCUCUUGCUCUGAAAUGAUGGGCCUGCCUGCAUGUGGGGAGAAGAGGCACGAGAACUGGGCCAUCUGUGUCCCAGAAGGAAAAUUCCUACCAAGCCCCUUACUGAGCUGACUUGGCAAAGAAGAGCAAAGGUGGCAUUGAGGGUUUGCUGUGCGUGUGGCUCGGCCAGGCCGGGGCUGUGCCCACACUCACACAAGGGGCCCUUCUCGCCCUGUCCCCACAUUUCUUAUCACCUCUUUCUCAUGUGGGUACCCUGAGAAGAUUCUGAGACCAGGGGAGGGCCUUGUGGGCCCUCUGGUCGUCUUCUCCCAUCAUGCCGUUCUGUCUCGAGCGUCAUGUGUCCCCUUGGAGGGACUCGGUGCCGUGGUCCAGGGGUCUGGACGCUUCUGACUGCAUUCCAGCUCUGGGCCAGCACACCCUUCUCGCAACCCCUUGAUAGCUGGGACUAACUUUCAACAGGCCUAAUCCACCUGGAGAAAUUCCAUCUCGCUUUCAUCUGGAACAGCCUUGGACAAUGGAAUGUUCCCAGAAUCGAUGGCAAAUAAAAGGGGAACAAGUAUUCAGGACGAGGAGCCAGCGGAAGAAGAGACCCUCUUGUGCUGGGAACGGGCCUGCUCAGCAGCAGCCCGGGCGGGCGCGGGACAGUGCAGUGUGUUUGGGGUGAGUGGUUUAGCAGAUGUGGGUUGAUUACGCAGCAUUGACCAUUUGGCACGAGAAAGGAGAUGGCAUCCGAGGUGGUGUGAGGGUAACUGUCACCCAGCAGAGACCACAGGACUGGAGCGCGAUGCAUACGGGGGUGGCGGAUGGGCUCUGGGGAAAUACGGGUGCCCGCGUCUGCCGCAAGCUGGGAGACGGAGAUCGUGGGGUGUGCCACUCGGAGGGGGGCGCCCUGGGCCCUGGACUCAGUGUCCUCUCCUGCAUCGUGUGAGGAUCCAGCUGGUGAGAGCACCUAGAGCAGGCCUGCUGUGCAGACGUGCUCAGGACGCGUUGGCUCUGGGACCAGUGCUGUCACCACUGUCAUCAUUAUUCUCUCUUCGACUUAUCCUGGCUUCUGGCCUUGAAGUCCUUGUCAUUAGCUUGCUGGCAGCCCAGGGAGGGAAGCAGUGUGCCCGCCUGGAGGCCUAAGGGAGGCUGGGGGGCUGGAGCGGAGCGUGCGGGAGGGCCAGGGGCUUGGCCCCUCUCCUGCCCAGCCCUGGGGACACAGGGCUGCCUCUGACCACACAGGUGGAGUGAGAGGCAGGUGAGAUGGGAGCGGAUUUGCAGAAGAAACUCUCCUAGUGAAUUUUCUCCUCAAAAUAGCCCUGUGAGGUGGACGCGUCUUAUUCCUUUUAGAGGCGGUGUCUGAGCCUCUGCUCUGCGCGAUGGAAGCAGAAUGUGAGCCACAGAGAUUAAAUUCUAGUAGCCACAGUGAAAAAGAAAAAAGAAACAGGCAAAAUUAAGUUAUUAAUGUAAUAGUAUAUUUUGUUUAACCCAGUAUGUUUUGCACACUGUCAUUUCAACACGCAGUCAAUAGAAGCCAGUCAUUAAUGAGCUGUGCAGGGUUUUUUUACACGAAGUUUCCAAGAUCAGGGCAUGUCUCAGCCCGGAUUGGCCUCAGUUCCAGUGCUCGGUGCUCCUCACUGUGGCUGGUGGCUCCUGCAGUGGACAGUGCAGCUGCCCAAGGUCACAUGGCAUUAGGUGGCUGAGUGGUCAGCCUUGGGAGCUCAUGGCACAGGCAGGUGGGGGGCUCUGAGGUGUGGACGGAAGGGAUGGGACUCAGCUGUGGUUUAAGGGGCUUGGCUCUGCCACCCAGACCCAGUCCUUCCUGAGGCCCCGGGCAGCAGCUGGUCGGGAGGGGCUGACAAGAGGCCUGCCGUGCCAUGUCGAUGCCGUGGCGCUGCGCUCGCUCUGCCGGGGGACCAGGGAAGAGUGAGCCUGGGAGGCAGGGGCAGGGAAACAUGGGGAUGCUCGAAGGAUCGCUCUGUCACGGACUGGGGACAUCUCGCUGCCCCCCCGUGGAGCAGGUGGGGGUGGGGGGGCCAUUCCUCUGAGAUCUUGCCUUCUCUGGGUGUUUUCUCUCCUGAAGUUGCUGUGCCUGUGCAGCCCUGCUCUGUCCCCUAGGGGCCCAGGGUGGGGCCGGGGGGCGGGGCGCCAGUCGAUGGGGUGAAAUGAGGCGGCCAGGUGGGCCCUUCUCGGGGGUCCAGGUAGAGAUGCUGACACAGGCAGUGUGGUGCCACAAGCCCUGGGUCCCUUCUCUGUGCUGCUGUCUUCGUCUCUGAUGGCUGGGCUGUGCACAUGUCCCCACACGUCCCCUGAGCACACCGCAUGCUCCAGGCUCCGCACAGCUGGCUGGCUGUAGGCCCUGUCCAUUCAGGCAGGUGUGGGAGAGCCCAGGGCAGAUGUGGCUCCAGAGCAGUCCUGUCCCUGGGGCUUGGCAGCCUCCUGACCAUGGUUUUCCUGCACAACUGUGUUCGUGGUUCUAGUUUGUGCCCCCUGCCAGGAGGGACUUGUAGAAAGAUGGGGCCUACAGCUUCAGCCACCUGGGAAGUUCAGACCUGCCCCACCCUUCAUGGGAACCUUCUGGGCCCUCAGACUCCAGGCGGCAACAAUCCUAUGAGCUGGUUCAAAUCAGCAUGCACUGAUUGAGUGCCAGCUGUGUACGAAUGCCUGGACCAGGAGCUCCGAGGAGAGCUGAGGUAAAGGAUCCGUAUCUUUAAGGAGCUUGCAGGCUCUAGAGGGGUCGGAUGAGGGCAGCUGUGUCUGUGCAGCCAGCUGCAAGCUGGAGCGCUAGUCUUGUCCUCUGAGAAUUUGGAUUCAAGUUCUGGACUCACCCCUUCAGCCACAUCUCCCAGCUCCUGCUUGUGCCAGGGCCUCUCUGUGCUGCAGUAGACAGGACAGUCAGCUCCAGACUUCUGGAGGUCACAGCAGUCACACACUGUCACAUAGAAACCUGGGGCAUGUGACCAACGCUCGCAGCUCUGACCUCUGCCCUUGGUCUCCUUACCAUGGUAGUUCCCAUUGUGGCUCAGUGGGUUAAGAACCCAACUAGUAUCCAUGAGGAUGCAGGUUUGAUCCCUGGCCUCGCUCAGUGGGUUAAGGACCCGGCAUUGCCGUGAGCUGUGGUGUAGGUCACAGACACAGCUCGGAUCUGGUAUGGCUGUGAUGUAGGCUGGCAGCUGCAGCUCCGAUUUGACCCCUAGUCUGUGAACUUCCGUAUGCCAUGGGUACGACCCUAAAAGGAAAAAAAAAAAAA
rnacentral:lncRNA from 1 species